rnacentral:rRNA from 1 species
GCAAAUUUUGCAGCUUAACUGUAAACAGUGCCGGUUGAUACUGUAGGGCUAGGGAUUUGGAUGCUGUGGGGUGGAAUGUGUGGUGUAGCGGUGUAAAUGCUUAGAUAUCACACAGAAUGAUCGGAUAGCGAAGGCAGCUCACACAGCCCAAGAUUGACGCUGAGGCACGCAAAGUGUGGUGAUCUAACAUGAUUAGCUACCCUGGUAGUCCACACUGUAAACGAUGAUAACUCGCUGCCGGCGAUACACAGUCGGUGGCCCAAGCGAAAAGCGAUAAGUUAUCCACCUGGGGAGUACGACCGCAAGGUUGAAACUCAAAGGAAUUGACGGGGGCCCGCACAAGCGGAGGAACAUGUGGUUUAAUUCGAUGAUACGCGAGGAACCUUACCCAGGCUCGAACGGUGCAUGAAUAUACAAGAGAUUGUAUAGUCCUUCGGGACAUGUAUCGAGGUGCUGCAUGGUUGUCGUCAGCUCGUGCCGUGAGGUGUCGGCUUAAGUGCCAUAACGAGCGCAACCCUUGUCAUUAGUUACCAUCAGGUCAAGCUGGGGACUCUAAUGAGACUGCCACCGUAAGGUGUGAGGAAGGGGGGGAUGACGUCAAAUCAGCACGGCCCUUAUGUCCGGGGCGACACACGUGUUACAAUGGGGGGUACAGAGGGCAGCCAUCCGGCGACGGAGCGCUAAUCUCAAAAACCCUUGUCAGUUCGGAUUGGAGUCUGCAACUCGACUCCAUGAAGUUGGAUUCGCUAGUAAUCGCGCAUCAGCCAUGGCGCGGUGAAUACGUUCCCGGGCCUUGUACACACCGCCCGUCAAGCCAUGGAAGCUUGGGGUGCCUGAAGUUAGUGACCGCAAGCAGCGACCUAG